rnacentral:rRNA from 1 species
CCGGUGAACUGAAACAUCUAAGUAACCGGAGGAAGAGAAAACAAUAGUGAUUCCGCAAGUAGUGGCGAGCGAACGCGGACUAGCCCAAACCCAAGUAGUUACGGCUGCUUGGGGGUUGUAGGACUGUGAUAUGGACUGUAUAAACGAACUGGAAUGAUUUGGGAAAGUCAGCCAGAGAGGGUGAGAGCCCCGUACAGGUAAAGUUGUACUACCUAACAGUAUCCUGAGUAGGGCGGAACCGGAGAAAUUCCGUCUGAAUUUGCCAGCACCAUCUGGUAAGGCUAAAUACUCCUGAGAAACCGAUAGUGAACCAGUACCGUGAGGGAAAGGCGAAAAGAACCCCUGUGAGGGGAGUGAAAUAGAACCUGAAACCGUAUACGUACAAGCAGUAGGAGCAGACUUGUUCUGUGACUGCGUACCUUUUGUAUAAUGGGUCAGCGACUUAAUUUAUGUAGCGAGCUUAACCGAAUAGGGGAGGCGCAGGGAAACCGAGUCUUAAUAGGGCGACUAGUUGCAUGGAUUAGACCCGAAACCUGGCGAUCUAUCCAUGGUCAGGGUGAAGGUGAGGUAACACUUACUGGAGGCCCGAACUCACGUAUGUUGAAAAAUGCGGAGAUGAACUGUGGAUCGGAGUGAAAGGCUAAUCAAGCCAGGAGAUAGCUGGUUCUCCUCGAAAGCUAUUUAGGUAGCGCCUCAUGUAUCACUGUAGGGGGUAGAGCACUGUUUCGGCUAGGGGGUCAUCCCGACUUACCAAACCGAUGCAAACUCCGAAUACCAGUGAGUACUAUCCGGGAGACACACGGCGGGUGCUAACGUCCGUCGUGAAAAGGGAAACAACCCAGACCGUCAGCUAAGGUCCCAAAGUCAUGGUUAAGUGGG